rnacentral:pre_miRNA from 1 species
AAAAAGACAAACUCUAGGUUUCCGUGUCUAACGUUUGACUGUCUGUCUUAUAUGAAAUUUUUUAUAAUUAGUAUUUUCAUUGUUAUAAAAUAUGAUUAAUACUUUAUGUGUGACUUGUCUUUUUAAUUUUUAUCAUAAUUUUUUCAAAUAAGAUGGUCGGUCAAACGUUGGACACGGAAACCUAGGGUU